rnacentral:rRNA from 1 species
UACGUAGGGGGCAAGCGUUGUCCGGAAUCAUUGGGCGUAAAGCGCGCGUAGGCGGCCCUGUAAGUCCGUUGUGAAAGUCAAAGGCUCAACCUUUGAAAGCCGAUGGAUACUGCAGGGCUAGAGUCCGGAAGAGGCGAGUGGAAUUCCUGGUGUAGCGGUGGAAUGCGCAGAUAUCAGGAAGAACACCCGUGGCGAAGGCGGCUCUCUGGAACGCAACUGACGCUGAGACGCGAAAGCGUGGGGAGCAAACAGG